rnacentral:misc_RNA from 1 species
GAUGAAGAACGCAGCGAAAUGCGAUACGUAAUGUGAAUUGCAAAUUCAGUGAAUCAUCGAGUCUUUGAACGCACAUUGCGCCCCCUGGUAUUCCGGGGGGCAUGCCUGUCCGAGCGUCAUUGCUGCCCUCAAGCACGGCUUGUGUGUUGGGCCCCGUCCUCCGAUCCCGGGGGACGGGCCCGAAAGGCAGCGGCGGCACCGCGUCCGGUCCUCGAGCGUAUGGGGCUUUGUCACCCGCUCUGUAGGCCCGGCCGGCGCUUGCCGAUCAACCCAAAUUUUUAUCCAGGUUGACCUCGGAUCAGGUAGGGAUACCCGCUGAACUUAAGAAUAUCAAUAAGCGGAGGA